CGAGCGUAAUGAUCAAUUAAUAAUAACCCAUAUCAAUCCGCACAUAUCCCCAGCCCCAAGUCCUCAAACUCAGCCCAUUUUCUUACAAAUAUAUGACAAUAAUCCAGUCAUGACAUGUGACCAAUGUUCUAUAGCCAUUGCUAAACUUACUAUUCUUGAAUCGGUGACUUCUUCUCAUAUCGGUAGUCAUCAUAUGAUCACAC
rnacentral:lncRNA from 1 species